CAUGGUGUUUGGUUAUUCUUAGUGUUUGGAGAAACUAUCUUUGGGCCUCCAUAUUAGUUAAGUGUUGGAUUUUGGGGCAGGUUAUUAAUUGUCAAUUUUUCCUUGGCUCUUCUUUCUUCUUUCUAUGAUGUUGUCGAUAUUUAGGUUUAUGAGAACGAGUGAAGGGUGCCAGUUUCGUGGUAUUAACUGCUUAAUGCUUAUGCCUUCUACAUUCUCCCCUUUUCAGAAGGAUAUGAGAAGUUAGCCCGGGCAAAAGAAGGUCCAUCAAAUCAACAUUUGGCUAGUGGAGAAGCCUCUAGCACUGGUGAAGGUGAUUACGAUAUGUUUGCUGACGAGGAUGAUAACAGUAAGCCAUCUACAGAUGAAAAUAAUACAGUUAGUCAAUCUUCAUCGGACGCCAUAAAUUCUGGCACUGAGGGUGGAGCAUUGCAAAAUGAUUAUGUGUAUGAUGAAUCUUCUGGGUACUAUUAUAGCAGCAGUUUGGGCUAUUAUUAU